rnacentral:rRNA from 1 species
GUCCACGCCGUAAACGAUGUCUACUAGCUGUUCGUGUCCUUGUGAUGUGAGUAGCGCAGCUAACGCACUAAGUAGACCGCCUGGGGAGUACGGUCGCAAGAUUAAAACUCAAAUGAAUUGACGGGGGCCCGCACAAGCGGUGGAGCAUGUGGUUUAAUUCGACGCAACGCGAAGAACCUUACCUACUCUUGACAUCUACGGAAGACUGCAGAGAUGCGGUUGUGCCUUCGGGAACCGUAAGACAGGUGCUGCAUGGCUGUCGU